GCCUUUGUAGUGUAAUGGUCAAAUACACUCGGCGCGUGUUCGAGGAUUUAUUCGAUCGUGUUUUAUUCGAGAGAUCCGUGGUUCGAAUCCCGGCAAGGGCA
rnacentral:tRNA from 1 species